rnacentral:rRNA from 1 species
ACGAAACUUCUUUAUCACCGAGUGCUUGCACUCACCGAUAAAGAGUUGAGUGGCGAACGGGUGAGUAACACGUGGGCAACCUGCCCAAAAGAGGGGGAUAACACUUGGAAACAGGUGCUAAUACCGCAUAACUAUAGUUACCGCAUGGUAACUAUGUAAAAGGUGGCUAUGCUACCGCUUUUGGAUGGGCCCGCGGCGCAUUAGCUAGUUGGUGGGGUAAAGGCUUACCAAGGCAAUGAUGCGUAGCCGAACUGAGAGGUUGAUCGGCCACAUUGGGACUGAGACACGGCCCAAACUCCUACGGGAGGCAGCAGUAGGGAAUCUUCCACAAUGGGCGAAAGCCUGAUGGAGCAACGCCGCGUGGGUGAAGAAGGUCUUCGGAUCGUAAAACCCUGUUGUUAGAGAAGAAAGUGCGUGAGAGUAACUGUUCACGUUUCGACGGUAUCUAACCAGAAAGCCACGGCUAACUACGUGCCAGCAGCCGCGGUAAUACGUAGGUGGCAAGCGUUAUCCGGAUUUAUUGGGCGUAAAGGGAACGCAGGCGGUCUUUUAAGUCUGAUGUGAAAGCCUUCGGCUUAACCGGAGUAGUGCAUUGGAAACUGGGAGACUUGAGUGCAGAAGAGGAGAGUGGAACUCCAUGUGUAGCGGUGAAAUGCGUAGAUAUAUGGAAGAACACCAGUGGCGAAAGCGGCUCUCUGGUCUGUAACUGACGCUGAGGUUCGAAAGCGUGGGUAGCAAACAGGAUUAGAUACCCUGGUAGUCCACGCCGUAAACGAUGAAUGCUAAGUGUUGGAGGGUUUCCGCCCUUCAGUGCUGCAGCUAACGCAAUAAGCAUUCCGCCUGGGGAGUACGACCGCAAGGUUGAAACUCAAAGGAAUUGACGGGGGCCCGCACAA